UUACUCCUCCUCAUCCUUGUUGCUGUUGCUGCUACUGUCGUCUAUUUUGUUGUGUUUAAGAACAAGACCGAUGAUGCCUCAGCUAAUAAAUCUAACAAGCACGCCUCAAUGCCCCCUCCAAAAGAACUAACCAUCCCUGCAACACCACCUCCUAAGACUGAUGCAUCACCACCACCUUCUCCUUCUAACGCUGAUUCAGCACCGCCUUCCAAUGAAGGUUCUGAUGCCCCUCCGCCAAAGGAGGAUGGUGCUGCUGUCCCUCCACCAAAGAAGGAUGGUGCUGCAGCAUCACCGGCUGGGGAUGUAGCACAUCCUUCACCACCAGUAGAUGGGGCAGGAACUCCUGCUCCAUCACCCCAAGAGGAUGAUAAUGCAGCAGCCCCAGCCCCUUCACCCCAAGCUGAUGGAGCUUUAGGAGCAAUAUGUGCAGCCACAGAUUUCAGUCAAAGUUGUGG
rnacentral:lncRNA from 1 species